rnacentral:rRNA from 1 species
AGUGAACGCUGGCGGUAGGCCUAACACAUGCAAGUCGAACGGCAGCACAGUAAGAGCUUGCUCUUACGGGUGGCGAGUGGCGGACGGGUGAGGAAUACAUCGGAAUCUACUUUUUCGUGGGGGAUAACGUAGGGAAACUUACGCUAAUACCGCAUACGACCUACGGGUGAAAGCAGGGGAUCUUCGGACCUUGCGCGAAUGAAUGAGCCGAUGUCGGAUUAGCUAGUUGGCGGGGUAAAGGCCCACCAAGGCGACGAUCCGUAGCUGGUCUGAGAGGAUGAUCAGCCACCCUGGAACUGGGACACGGUCCAGACUCCUCCGGGAGGCAGCAGUGGGGAAUAUUGGACAAUGGGCGCAAGCCUUAUCCAGCCAUCCCGCGUGGGUGAAGAAGGCCUUCGGGUUGUAAAGCCCUUUUGUUGGGAAAGAAAAGCAGCAGGUUAAUACCCCGCUGUUCUGACGGUACCCAAAGAAUAAGCACCGGCUAACUUCGUG